UCCCACCCGGCGAAUCGUGGCCGACUGAGGCCACAUUCCUGAGUUCGUGGUGGUUCGAGCCACGGUAAAAGCAUCCUCAGGAUAGCCGGGUGGGUUUUA
rnacentral:ncRNA from 1 species